rnacentral:rRNA from 1 species
UACGUAGGUGGCAAGCGUUGUCCGGAUUUACUGGGCGUAAAGAGCGCGCAGGCGGUCGUCCAAGUCGCGUGUGAAAGCCCCCGGCUCAACUGGGGAGGGUCACGCGAUACUGGUCGACUCGAAGGCAGGAGAGGGUAGUGGAAUUCCCGGGGUAGUGGUGAAAUGCGUAGAUAUCGGGAGGAACACCAGUGGCGAAGGCGACUGCCUGGCCUGUUCUUGACGCUGAGGCGCGAAAGCUAGGGGAGCAAACGGG